UGAAUACGAGACGCUAAGGCGUCGAAGUAGUGUAUGUCAUACUUCCAAGAAAAGCUUGCACUGUCAUAGAUAAAAAACGCCUGUACCAUAACCGACACAGGUGGGUAGGUAGAGUAUACUAAGGGGCGCGAGAUAACUCUCUCUAAGGAACUCGGCAAAAUAACUCCGUAACUUCGGGAGAAGGAGUGCCUUAUUCUUAAGGUUGCAAUAACAAGAUCCAAGCAACUGUUUAUCAAAAACACAGGUCUCCGCUAAGUCGUAAGACGAUGUAUGGGGGCUGACGCCUGCCCAGUGCCAGAAGGUUAAAGAAGCUGGUUAGCAUUUGCGAAGCUAGUAACUGAAGCCCUGGUGAACGGCGGCCGUAACAAUAAUGGUCCUAAGGUAGCGAAAUUCCUUGUCGGGUAAGUUCCGACCCGCACGAAAGGCGUAAUGAUUUGGAUACUGUCUCGGAGAGGGGCUCGGUGAAAUAGACUUGUCUGUUAAGAUGCGGACUACCUGCACCAGGACAGAAAGACCCUAUGAAGCUUUACUGUAACUUGAAAUUGAAAUUGGACUUUAUUCGCGCAGUAUAGGUGGGAGGCGUUGAUUAUAAUCUUGCGGGAUUAUUGGAGCCAUUAGUGAGAUACCACUCUUGUAAUGUUAGAUUUCUAACUUUGAAUCAUUAUCUGGUCAAAGAACAGUUUCAGGCGGGCAGUUUGACUGGGGCGGUCGCCUCCCAAACGGUAACGGAGGCGUACAAAGGUUUCCUCUGAACGGUUAGAAAUCGUAUCUAGAGUGUAAAGGCAUAAGGAAGCUUGACUGUGAGACCUACAAGUCGAGCAGGGACGAAAGUCGGUCUUAGUGAUCUGACGGUACUGAGUGGAAAGGCCGUCACUCAACGGAUAAAAGUUACUCUAGGAUAACAGGCUGAUCUCCCCCAAGAGUUCACAUCGACGGGGAGGUUUGGCACCUCGAUGUCGGCUCAUCGCAUCCUGGGGCGGUAGUACGUCCCAAGGGUUGGGCUGUUCGCCCAUGAAAGCGGUACGCGAGCUGGGUUCAGAACGUCGUGAGACAGUUCGGUCCAUAUCCGGUGUAGGCGUUAGAAUAUUGAGAGGAGCCUUCUUUAGUACGAGAGGACCGAGAAGGACAUACCUCUGGUGUACCAGUUAUCGUGCCAACGGUAGACGCUGGGUAGCUAUGUAUGGAGUGGAUAACCGCUGAAAGCAUCUAAGUGGGAAGCCCACCUCAAGAUAAGUAUUCUCAUC
rnacentral:rRNA from 1 species